CACGCCGUAAACGAAUGAAGUGGCUAAGUGUUAGAAGGGUUUCCGCCCUUUAGUGCUGCAGCUAACGCAUUAAGCACUCCGCCUGGGGAGUACGGCCGCAAGGCUGAAACUCAAAGGAAUUGACGGGGGCCCGCACAAGCGGUGGAGCAUGUGGUUUAAUUCGAAGCAACGCGAAGAACCUUACCAGGUCUUGACAUCCUCUGACACUCCUAGAGAUAGGAAUUUCCCCUUCGGGGGACAGAGUGACAGGUGGUGCAUGGUUGUCGUCAGCUCGUGUCGUGAGAUGUUGGGUUAAGUCCCGCAACGAGCGCAACCCUUGAUCUUAGUUGCCAGCAUUCAGUUGGGCACUCUAAGGUGACUGCCGGUGACAAACCGGAGGAAGGUGGGGAUG
rnacentral:rRNA from 1 species